UACGGGGGGGGGCAAGCGUUGUUCGGAAUUACUGGCGUAAAGGGCGCGUAGGCGGCCUUCUAAGUCGAACGUGAAAUCCCCGGGCUCAACCCGGGAACUGCGUCCGAUACUGGGAGGCUUGAAUCCGGGAGAGGGAUGUGGAAUUCCAGGUGUAGCGGUGAAAUGCGUAGAUAUCUGGAGGAACACCGGUGGCGAAGGCGGCAUCCUGGACCGGUAUUGACGCUGAGGCGCGAAAGCCAGGGGAGCAAACGGG
rnacentral:rRNA from 1 species